GGUAAUGGUUAUGCUUCUUAAUAAUAAUAAUAAUAGCAAAAACAAACCCCACUUCAUUAAGCUUCUUUCUGUACAAACUCUGGUUUGCUUUUUUCUCAUUGAGAAAGACUAAUUGUAUAUCUAGACCCCCAAUUAACCCCUAAUGCUUCAUACUACAUUUGCCUGAAGCAGCUUCUCAAACUGAAGAUUCAGAGUCACCUGCAGCAUUGUCAAAAUAUGGGUACCUAGAUGUGGGUCUCACUUCUUCUGAUUCAAUAGGUCUGCUAUGGACCCUAAUAUUUUUUCUUUCUAACAAAUUCCCAGCUGCUGCUGCUGCUGAUGGUCCUGACCACACUUUGAAAAUGCUUGAACUAGUAUAAACGUUGUCCAGCUUGAGCUUGUGUGGCGGGAGGGAUCGCUGUGGUGUUUGCUGUGGUAUCCUGAAUUCUAUUAUCAUGAAAAAGUUACUAAAACCAAGUCUGAGGACCUGGGUUUUAAUCUUACUGAGGAUGACCUUGGGCACGUGGCCGAAUCCCAGUUUCUCCCAUCUGCAAAAUGGGAUAAGGCCCCACUCAGCCCACACCUCUGGACUGCAGAAAGCAUGGUGCAAGGAAAUGGUUGUAAAGUCCUCUCAGAUAAUAAGAGUUGCAGUCAGCAUGAGAAUGUGUGUCACACUUGACACAGAAGCCAGGGGCUCCUCAGGCCUCAGAAAGCCAAGGACUAGGUUUGAGAGAGCACUGAAUCCUAAUCACUAGACUACCAGGGAGGGGACUGGGUUUGGCAUGAGGAAGGCAGCCAUGAUGAUACAUCCUGCCCUCAGAAUUUCCCAGGUGCCCACAGGGUGGUGAGACCUGAUAGUUUCUUGCCUGGCUGUUAGUGCUUUAGCACCAAGCCUCAAUUUGCACCACUGCUGCCACAUUCUUCACCCUCCUUGAGAAUGCCUGGGUCUUGGAAGAGAGGAAAUGGAGAUGACUGGAAAAAUGGAAGGAAAAGAUGUUAUAUUUGUGACAAUUUUUUUAAUUUGCAAUUUUUAAUUUUUGACAUGAUUUCAGACUUAGAGAAAAGUUGCAAGAAUAGUACAAAGAAUACUCAAGUAUCUUCACCCAGAUUCCCCAAGUGUUAGCAUUUUCCUACAUUUGGUUUGCUCAUUUAUUUCUCUCCUUCACACACCAUACAACACACAGUGUAUAUAUAAGUGUACAAAAUAUAUACACAUUUUGAGACUAUUUAAAACUCUUCAAUAUAAAGUUUACUCUUUUACCCUUUGUAGUUAAUAAGUAUUUUUUUGAGAGAUACUUUGAGACUAUGGAAAUAUCCUGUUACCUUUAAAUUUUCACCCAUUAGUUUUUACCUGUUCACCAUUGGUGAUUUUUGCCUGACUCCAUAUUUAUAAUGGUUGCCAAAUUAUAAUUUUCUAAUUUCACCAUUCUUUAUACAUUUAUUAGUUGGCAGUCUACCAUAAAGAUGAGCUUUUUUAAAAUAUAUUUAUUUAUUUGCUUUUUAGGGCCUCAUCUGAGACACCUGAAAGUUCCCAGGCUAGGGGUCAAAUCAAAGCUAUAGCUGCCAGCCACAGCCACAGCCACAGCAACGCCAGAUCCGAGAUGAGUCUACAACCUACACCAUAACUUACAGCAACGCCGGAUCCUUAACCCCUGCAUGAGGCAGGGAUCGAACCUGCCGCCUCAUGGAUGCUAGUUGGGUUCUCAACCCACUGAGCUGCUACAGGAACUCCAGGCCUUCUCUUCUUAUUUAUUCCUUGUUUGUUUACCUCAUUGUGAACGGAUGGACUUUUUAUCCAGUAGGUUUACUCUUUAUCAUUAUUUCGAUGCUCAGAUUAUCCCAGAUUUGGCCAGCGGGAGCCUCUAAAUGCUGGUUCCUGCCUCCUUUUGAAUUGGUCCCUCCCUAAUCUGAGCACUUCAUUCCUUUAUGGCAUGAGAUGUUCCAGGUUCCCCUUCUACUUUACAUGCCCCAGCCACGUAUGGAAUCCACCAUUUUCCAAGGAGCUCUGGGUCUUUUCAGUGGAAAGUGUUACUUUGAAACCAUCAUCUGGCCACUAGAUGUGCUCAUUGAGACUGGAUUGACAUUUGUGUUAUGGACAAAUGUCCAUAAUGUUUGUUUAGCCCCCAAAUUGGUAAGUGGAAGCCCUAGCCCCGGUGUGACUGGAUUUGGAGAUAGGGCCUUUAAAGAGGAAUCAGAUCUAGAUGGGGGUAAUGCCUUUAAAAUAGACACCAGAGAACUUGAUCUACCCCUCUGUUACCAUGUGAGGACGCAGUAAGAAGUGGCUAUCUGCAGGCCAGGAAGAGAGUUCUCACCAGAAGCCCCCCAUGCUAGCUAGCACUCUGAUCUUGGACUUGUGGCCUCCAAGGCUGUAGAUAUAAAUUUCACAGUUGCUUAAGCCACCCAGUCUAUAGUGUUUUGUUAUAGCAGCCUGAGAUGUAAUAUGUUUCUGUUUAGUGCACUUAUUUAUGAAUGUUUCCUCCCUGCCACCCCAGCAAGAUCUGAACUUCUCCCCUUUACAAUGUAAUGUGCUCAAUCAUCUGUACCUUAAAUAUUAGGUAGUGCGCUUAAUAGAAAGAAUUUGGAUAUGGAGUGGGACAAUGUGUGUUCAUUCCAUUUAUCAAAUAAAUGAGGACCCUCAGGCAGGUUAACCUCGCUGACCUCAGAUUUCUCAUCUUUUAAAUGGAUAGUCAUUAUGAAAUGUAAGAUAACAGGUAGGAGUUCCCAUGAUGGCUCAGUGGAAAUGAAUCUGACUAGCAUCCAUGAGGAUGAAGGUUCCAUCCCUGGCCUUGCUCAGUGGGUUAAGGAUCCGGCAUUGCCGUGAGCUGUGGUGUAGGUGCAGGUGUGGCUCAGAUCCCGUGUUGCUGUGGCCGUGGUAUAGGCUGGCAGCUAUACCGCCGACGGUUCCCUAGCCUGGGAACUCCAUAUACUGUGGGUGCAGCCCUAAAAAGCAAAAAACAAAACAAAACAAAAAAAAACUAACAGGUGUAAAGUGCCUGGUACAUGGUAAACAAUCAAUAGAACACUAGUUUCCCCUUUCUUCUCAUUCACACAUGGAUAUAUAUCUUUUUCCUUAGUGUGACUUCCUGCCUGACUUCUGCUUCUCUCAGAGCCCAGAAUACAACUGUAUUCAAUGUUUAGACUUUUUCCUCCACUGAAUGAAAGAAAUGCUGCUCUGAUUCAAGAUGGAGAUUCUGCUGCUCUAUUGUUAACUCUAUCACAUCUUGCUUCCUUAAAAGUCAUAUAAUUAUAAAGCAUUUCCAAAGAGGUCCUUCAACAAUGCCUCUUGAACAAAUGAUAUUUAACAUCUCUAUUAGUUACCUAUUGCUGCUUUACCCCUAAACUUAGCAGCGUAAAACAAUAGGCAUUAACUAUGUCAUAGUUUCUCUGGGUCAGGAAUCUAGGAACAGCCCAACUGGGUGCCUCUGACUCAAGCUCCCGCAUGAAGUUGUAGUCAAGGCCAAGGCUGCAGUCUCAUCUGAAGGCUUAACGGUGUGAAUCCACUGCCAAACUUACUCAUGUGGUUGUUGGCAGGAUUCAGUUCCUGGAGGGUUAUUGGACUGAGGGCCUUAGUUCCUCACUCUGUGGAGACCCACUCUGUUCCCAGCAGUAUGAACCUCUCCAUAAGGUAGCUCACAGCAUGCCAGAUGGCUUCCCUCAGAGCACCCUACUCAGAAAUCACAGUCUAUUCUUGGAAGUGACAUCCUGUCACCUCUGCUGUAUCCCAUUUGCUAGAUGUAAGUCGCUAAAAGCAAGCCCACACUCAAAGGAAGGGAUCACACAAAGAUAUGAAGACCAGCAGGUAGGGAUCAUGAGGGGUCAUCUUAGAGGGUAUGUACUACAACCUUUAUAAUGAACCAGGAAAAGGUUCCAUGAUUAAGAUAUUUGCAAUAAAGUGACAAAUUAAAAGAGAACCUUUAAAUAUAAGUGCUGUCUCUCACAUACAGAUAGCAAGCUCUUCACACACACACACACACACACACACAAGAGAUGUCAGCAAAACUCAAGCUUCUGAACAGGAAGGGCUAUCUUAGAGUGUACAUCUCAGAACUCAGUGGAAUAAAGAUGAGGAGCUACUUGAUCCAUCUUACACUGUCAUCACCUGCAUUGUCAACCUCGUUAACAUCAUCAUUGCCAUUUAAUUACUGCUCACUGAAUGCCAGUGUGCCAAGAACUUUUCACAUGUGAUAUGAUUGUGAUUUUUUUCAGAAGACAGAGAUAAUGGCAUUAAUAUUUUGAGAUACAUAACCCAACAUAUUUUCAUUUUCCGUAACCCUCAGUUCCCAGUUGUCCUGCAGCACCCUCCGUGCAUGCAUGACUCAGUGGCAGGCAUGUUUCUACUCUAUGGUGGUUCACCAAAAUUGCCUGCAAAUAUAUCUUUUUUUUCUUUCUCAAUCUUUCCCUCCCUUGCCCCCUACCCCUCCACAAUCUCUCUUCUGGAAGCUCCCAUUCUCAAGCAGAUGCAGUAGCAGGAAGCUAGAACAGAUAAAUUGGACAUUCCUUCAAAUGUGGUUAUGGUUGCCAAGGGGGAGGGGGAGGGAUUGGAAUGGACUAGGAGUCUGGGGUUAGGAGAUGCAAACUGUUCCUUUUAGAAUGGGUAAGCAAUAAGAUCCUACUGUAUAGCACAGGGAACUAUAUCCAGUCUCUUGUGAUAGAACAUGAUGGAAGAUAAUAUGAGAAAAAGAAUAUAUAUAUGUAUGACUGGUCACUUUGAUGUACAAUAGAAAUUGACACAACAUUGUAAAUCAAC
rnacentral:lncRNA from 1 species